rnacentral:rRNA from 1 species
UAAGUAAUGUGAAUUGCAGAAUUCAGUGAAUCAUCGAAUCUUUGAACGCACAUUGCGCCCCGUGGUAUUCCGCGGGGCAUGCCUGUUCGAGCGUCAUUAUAACCAAUCCAGCUCGCUGGGUCUUGGGCACCGCCUCCUGGCGGGCCUCAAAAUCAGUG